AUACGAAGGGGGCUAGCGUUGUUCGGUAUUACUGGGCGUAAAGCGCGCGCAGGCGGUUUUCCAAGUCAGUGGAGAAAGCCCAGAGCUCAACUCUGGAACUGCCUUUGAAACUGGAAAACUAGGGUACGGGAGAGGUGAGUGGAAUUCCGAGUGUAGAGGUGAAAUUCGUAGAUAUUCGGAAGAACACCAGUGGCGAAGGCGGCUCACUGGCCCGUUACCGACGCUCAGGCGCGACAGCGUGGGGAGCAAACAGGAUUAGAAACCCCGGUAGUCC
rnacentral:rRNA from 1 species